AGAGUUUGAUCCUGGCUCAGAUUGAACGCUGGCGGCAUGCUUUACACAUGCAAGUCGAGCGGCAGCGCGGGGGCAACCCUGGCGGCGAGCGGCGAACGGGUGAGUAAUGCAUCGGAACGUAUCCUGUAGUGGGGGAUAACCCAGCGAAAGUUGGGCUAAUACCGCAUGAGCUCUGAGGAGGAAAGCGGGGGACCUGAAAGGGCCUCGCGCUGCCGGAGCGGCCGAUGUCCGAUUAGCUAGUUGGUGGGGUAAAGGCUUACCAAGGCGACGAUCGGUAGCUGGUCUGAGAGGAUGAUCAGCCACACUGGGACUGAGACACGGCCCAGACUCCUACGGGAGGCAGCAGUGGGGAAUUUUGGACAAUGGGGGCAACCCCGAUCCAGCCAUGCCGCGUGAGUGAAGAAGGCCUUCGGGUUGUAAAGCUCUUUCGGACGGAACGAAAUGGGCGGGACUAAUACUCCUGUCCGA
rnacentral:rRNA from 1 species